AGUGAACGCUGGCGGUAGGCCUAACACAUGCAAGUCGAACGGCAGCACAGUAAGAGCUUGCUCUUACGGGUGGCGAGUGGCGGACGGGUGAGGAAUACAUCGGAAUCUACUUUUUCGUGGGGGAUAACGUAGGGAAACUUACGCUAAUACCGCAUACGACCUACGGAUGAAAGCAGGGGAUCUUCGGACCUUGCGCGAUUGAAUGAGCCGAUGUCGGAUUAGCUAGUUGGCGGGGUAAAGGCCCACCAAGGCGACGAUCCGUAGCUGGUCUGAGAGGAUGAUCAGCCACACUGGAGCUGAGACACGGUCCAGACUCCUACGGGAGGCAGCAGUGGGGAAUAUUGGACAAUGGGCGCAAGCCUGAUCCAGCCAUACCGCGUGGGUGAAGAAGGCCUUCGGGUUGUAAAGCCCUUUUGUUGGGAAAGAAAAGCAGCAGGUUAAUACCCCGCUGUUCUGACGGUACCCAAAGAAUAAGCACCGGCUAACUUCGUG
rnacentral:rRNA from 1 species